rnacentral:lncRNA from 1 species
GCCGUGGUCGCUUGGACCUUCUCAAGAAGGUCCUCAAUGAUCGCUUCUGCUCGUGUAUCUGCUGUGAUGGCUCCUCCCUCAUAUCAGUGGAUGUCUGCUGGUUAUACUAUUCAGGAAUAACUGAUGCUGUCAGAGCAUCUGCGGGCUAAGUGACUCCCUCAUCUGGAUAUAAGGAUGGGCCUGCAAAGAAAGUUUCAUACUCAUGUAGCCAACUAAAAAUCGAUGAUGUCAUCUCGGGCAUAUAGGAAGAAGAAGGCCCUGCCAU